AAAGGACACUGUUGGAAUGACUUCUCAAUGUAGAAAACUGUUCUGAUAUGAUUCCUAACUUCUGGAUUUAGAAGUGGUGGAUUUUCAGCCUGACGACUAGAUUCAGCCUACAGGAAAUCUCCAGUUGACUCUUCAAUCCCCAUCCAUCUCCCUGGCCCAAGCAGUGGGCAGUGGGGGACCCAUAGAAAGAAAAGGGAAAGUCUCCCCUCCCUGUUAUUUCCUCCAAUGUUACUCAAGUGAUGGAAGAUGACAGUUCAGCAAAGUAUGUGUUUGCAAUAUAUGGAGAGAGGGACUGCCUCCAACUCCGAUCUCUA